GCCUCUUUAGCUCAGUGGCAGAGCACUGGUCUUGUAAACCAGGGGCCGUGAGUUCAAUUCUCACAAGAGGCA
rfam:Drosophila sechellia strain Rob3c scaffold_0 genomic scaffold, whole genome shotgun sequence.